rnacentral:lncRNA from 1 species
UGUAUGUCUAUAUUUAAAUGUAUAAACACACAUAUUUUAGUUAGUAUUCAAUGUCAAUAAUUCACCUUUCUAAGCUGUGAGGUAUUCUUUAAGCAGACCACAAUUUUGAUGGUAAAUGCCUGCUCAUAAGCAUACUGCAGGAACCAAAACUUCGUCAACUGCUGGAGCACAGACUUCCAAAGGAGGCAGCACAGAAAUGAGAGGUUUGCAACUCAUUUGCAGAACUGAGAACUUGCAGGCAAGUUGCUCUCACUGCAGCAAAUUUUGGUGCCAUUUGGGCUGGGUCAGGUGUUACACUUAGGACAGGGCUCUGCAGGUACGUGAUGUCUGCAGCCUGUGUGGCUGCUUUCUGCAGUGUCCCCACCUGUGCCCUGGCCACUCAUUGGCUCUGACCAUCUCCCACCUUGCUGCUUUCCCUUCUCCAGCACACAGUGCUGCUCUCACAGGGAAGCACUUUGCCUCCCUCUGACCAGGGAAGGACAUGCGGCCUUCAUAUCUUCUAAGAGUCGCAUCCUUUUGGUGUAACAAAAUCUGCCUGGUGCUAGCAAAGCAGUGUAGAGCUGCUGUCCUUGUGAAGUGGUGGUUUUGUUCUGCUGAGAAUUGCUCUGGUGAGCUCCUGCCUCUGGCUGCCCUCGGUGCUCUGCUCUGGCUCACGUCAUGGUUCCAGGAAGGCAAGAACCCAACUGCAAAACCAUCCAGACUUCAUUAUUUAUUAAAGCUGGGAAAAACAAGUUACCCAAGUCAUAAAUACAUGGGUAACAUCGCUUAAUCCUGUGAAGGCAGUACUCUUAUCACAAAAGGUUCAAGCACAAAUAAAUUGUUUCUGGGCCCAGUAACA